rnacentral:rRNA from 1 species
UACGUAGGUCGCAAGCGUUAUCCGAAAUUACUGGGCGUAAAGCGUUCGAAGGUGGAUAAAUAAGUCUGAUGUUAAAUACCCACGGCUCAACCGGGGUGCUAUAUUGGAAACUGUUUGACUAGAGGGAUGCAGGGGUAGCUGGAAUUUCCAUUGUAGGGGUUAAAUCCGUAGAUAAUGGAAGGAACACCAAAAGCGAAAGCAGGCUACUGGGCAUUUCCUGACACUGCUCGAACGAAAGCGUGGGGAGCAAAACGG